UCCCUGGUGGCUCAAGUGAAGCGUCUGCCUGCAAUGCAGGAGAUCUAGGUUCGAUUCCUGGGUUAGGAA
rnacentral:tRNA from 1 species